rnacentral:rRNA from 1 species
GUAGGGAAUAUUGCACAAUGGGGGAAACCCUGAUGCAGCGACGCCGCGUGAGUGACGAAGGCCUUCGGGUUGUAAAGCUCUGUUCUCAGGGAAAAAGAAAGUGAUUGUACCUGAGAAGAAAGGACCGGCUAACUUCGUGCCAGCAGCCGCGGUAAGACGAGGGGUCCAAGCGUUGUUCGGAAUUAUUGGGCGUAAAGCGGGUGUAGGUGGCUCUAUAAGUCAGGAGUGAAAGCCCCGAGCUCAACUUGGGAAGUGCUUUUGAUACUGUAGAGCUUGAAUGUGGGAGAGGAUCGUGGAAUUCCAGGUGUAGUGGUGAAAUACGUAGAUAUCUGGAGGAACACCGGUGGCGAAGGCGGCGAUCUGGCCCAACAUUGACACUGAGACCCGAAAGCGUGGGGAUCAAACAGG